GCAAAGACAACUCAGGGCAGGUGCUGCAUUAGCUGCAGUCCGGCCAGGUGGAAGUUGGCAAGGAAGCAUCAGAAAGAAGGCAGAGCUGCACAGCCUGGCCGGCCAUGUGCCAUUUGGAUCCUGACUUGGGAGUGGAAGGGGUACUUCAGAGAAGAGCCCCCUGCUGGGAAAGGGAGGGGAGAGUUGCUCCCUUGGCCCAAGGAGACUAGGCUCUGAGCUAUUCUUGCUUCCUCAGAAGUCCUGCAGCACAGUCUCCCGAGGCCUCCAAGUCAUGGAAUUAGAACUGAGGAUAAAUGGGAUAAGUGUGCACACAAGAACCCUGGCCAAGGAACUCCCAGGGGCCAGUGUGGCUCUGGCUGGAGCAUGGGGGGCUUCCUGGAAGGAAAGGGCAGCCUGGUUCACUGAGGACUCCUUGCCAGCACCUCUUCAGAGAAAUGUGGGUCUACUCCCACCAGGGAGCCUCAGGGAACCAGUGUGGGCCACGUUCUCCAUUGGUGCCAGUUCCUCUGUCUCUAAGGGAUGGACGGGGCCCAGCCCACAGUGGUCAGCUCUCACUGUGGGCCAAGGGAGAUGCACUCUGAAAAGGGGCAGCCACGGUAUGAGCCUGGGUGUCACCAUCCCAGGCCUGGGCUCAAAAGGCCCACUUUGCCGUCAGUGUGGUAUGCGUGGCUGGCUGACACUGGCUUCAUGAUAUCUUUAGAUCUUUCUGUGUAAAAUGAGGACAGCACUCCCAUACUGAACUGUGGAGGGCCCUGGAAGGUGACUCAGGAGAGGCCAAACAGUGGGCUGUGCCCCUUCUCCUUUCUGGGAAGCCAUCUCCUGCAGCUCCUGGAAGCUGGCUGGUCCUACUGUAGGGCCUCUCUCCCAAGGCCUGAAGUUGGGGGGGCAAAGUCAGAGAAGGUGUGGUCUCCUGCUAGCCCAAUGGGAAAGCAGACACACUGCACCCAGACAUACUCAGGCACUGGGGGCCCAGACCCAAGGAGAAGGUGAGAAUCAGGUUUACCUGAAGGCCCAGACCCAAGAAGCACCUCCCCGGGUACUACUGCGGUGCCUGCCAAUCCCACAGCCCAGGUGGAUCAGCCUAGAGUCUGUGGCUCCUGUGACUCCUAGGGACUAAGUGCUUGGCUGAUCAAUGGGUGCCUGUGAUAAUCAGAUUACUGGGCACCAGGCUGGUGAUGGAGAAAAGUGAGAGGGGCAUGGUGGGAGGAGCACAGGCAGAAGAAGGGGAUAACCUGCUCACCCUACAGAAGCCUCAGCACCCACACUCUGUUCCCAGUGCAGAGCUGGUCAUUUGUGGGACCCCCUCCUAAGUCUUCUUGCAGAGUGGGUGGUUCUCUUCCAAACAGGCCAGGAGCUUGGGGGCCAGGGUCCCUCGCCUUUUUCCCCUGCAUUUCCCAUGGCCCUGGCAGGGUAAAGGGUGGGGGACUGGCUCCUUCUGUGGCAGGCUCUUGUCAGUGUGAACUCCUGUCAGGCACAGGCUUUCCAAGGCACCUCUCCUCUGCCCUCAGGAGGUUCCUACAGCCUCUCCUCUGAGGUAGCAGUGCCUAUCAGCAAUGGCCUGGAGCAGUGCCAUAUGUACCUCUGCUCCCUGGAUUUCAGCUAGUCGCACUCUUUUCUACAAGUGUCCUUUCUCCAGAGCAGCUGACCCUGUUUGCAGAGAAGGUGCUUUUAGUAAGGUGCCUGGAGGCUCUUACCAUGGACGGUGACCCUGGCGCUGCAGGACACUUGCCCCAAGGCGUUCUCAGCCAGACAGAUGUUCCUCGCUGUCCUGCGCACCCCCACCCCAUCUCAUUGGCUCUUCCACCUCUAUUCACUUUCCCAGCCCUGAAUGAUUGCUAAUGUGAUUCCACCUGGAGUGUCCUAACGUUCUGAGAUACAGAGGCUCUGGAGAGGGGCUUACCAAAUGGAGGAAGAAGCCUUGGCUCCUGGAAGAGAAUGUGGAAAGCUCUUUACCUGUUCAAAAGCAUCUGGAUUGAACCUUCCUUCACUGAGAAAUAAACUUUCUCCACAUUGAAUCACGGCCAUUUGGAGCUUGUCUGUGACAGCAGCUACUGAUAAUUGCCUAGUCAAAUCCGCUCAUUAAAUCCUUCUGACUUGCCUGUGUUAGAGUCCCUUGAAGACUAUGGUCAUUCUCUACUCCCUUAGCAUUUAGCAGGUGGGCCAAAGAGGCCCACCCUUUAGUUACAACCUAGGAUACCCAAGAAGACUUACUCCAUGGGCCUAUCCUGGUCAAGUCAGCAGGAAAAGCCAAGCCAAUCCUUACUCUAGCUUAGACAUCCCAGA